GCCUGGGUGGCUCAGUGGUUGAGCACCUGCCUUCAGCUCAGGGCAUGAUCCCAGGGUCUUGGGAUCGAGUCUCACAUCAGGCU
rfam:Canis lupus familiaris chromosome 26, whole genome shotgun sequence.